AAUACGGGGGGGGCAAGCGUUGUUCGGAAUUACUGGGCGUAAAGGGCUCGUAGGCGGCCAACUAAGUCAGACGUGAAAUCCCUCGGCUUAACCUGGGAACUGCAUCCGAUACUGGAUGGCUUGAAUUCGGGAGAGGGAUGCAGAAUUCCAGGUGUAGCGGUGAAAUGCGUAGAUAUCUGGAGGAAUACCGGUGGCGAAGGCGGCAUCCUGGACCGACAUUGACGCUGAACGGCGAAAGCUAGGGGAGCAAACG
rnacentral:rRNA from 1 species